rnacentral:ncRNA from 1 species
UAAUAGGUUAUGACAAGGUAUAGUAGUAAUAUUUAUUUCAACAGAGAGGCUGUAAAUGGUGUAAACAGCUGAGAUUUUAUUACGAAUGGAGCUUUUGAGCUGUUAUUAUUUAAAGAUGAGCAUCUGCUAAAAAGGGUGGAACCGCGGAUAUAUAAUUCGUCCCUUUA